GGUGAACGCUAGCGGCGUGCCUUAAGCAUGCAAGUCGAACGGGAUAGCAAUAUCCAGUGGCGGACGGGUGAGUAAUGCAUAGGAAUCUACCCUAAAGUGGGGAAUAACUAGCCGAAAGGUUAGCUAAUACCGCAUGUGAUAGCAAUAUCAAAACCCGUAACUGGGCGCUUUAGGAUGAGCUUAUGUCCCAUCAGCUUGUUGGUAGGGUAAAAGCCUACCAAGGCUAUGACGGGAGCUGGGCUGAGAGGUCGGCCAGCCACAAUGGCACUGAGACACGGGCCAUACAUCUACGGAUGGCAGCAACUGGGAAUCUUUGGCAAUGGACGAAAGUCCGACCAAGCGACGCCGCGUGGAGGAUGAAGGCCU
rnacentral:rRNA from 1 species